AAUAUUGGUCAAUGGACGCAAGUCUGAACCAGCCACGUCGCGUGAAGGAAGACGGCCCUACGGGUUGUAAAGCACUUUUGUCAGGGAAGAAAAGGUUCUGGCUAAUACCCGGAACUGAUGACGGUACCUGAAGAAUAAGCACCGGCUAACUACGUGCCAGCAGCCGCGGUAAUACGUAGGGUGCAAGCGUUAAUCGGAAUUACUGGGCGUAAAGCGUGCGCAGGCGGUUCGGAAAGAAGGAUGUGAAAUCCCAGGGCUCAACCUUGGAACUGCAUUCUUAACUACCGAACUAGAGUAUGUCAGAGGGGGGUAGAAUUCCGCGUGUAGCAGUGAAAUGCGUAGAUAUGCGGAGGAAUACCGAUGGCGAAGGCAGCCCCCUGGGAUAAUACUGACGCUCAUGCACGAAAGCGUGGGUAGCAAACAGG
rnacentral:rRNA from 1 species